rnacentral:rRNA from 1 species
UCAUAGUGGGGAAUAACUUCUCGAAAGAGGAGCUAAUACCGCAUAAGUUCUAUGUUAUGACAGACAUAGAAGAAACCCAAGUUGUAAAAGACAAGGGGCUGAGAGAUGGGACUGCGGCGGAUUAGCUAGAUGGUGAGGUAACGGCCCACCAUGGCGACGAUCCGUAGCUGGUCUGAGAGGACGGCCAGCCACACUGGGACUGAGAGACGGCCCAG